UGCUCUUUCGAUCUCGAGCUGGUCCACGGUGUCUUGCGGGCUGUAAAAUGCAGUUUAAUCAGAGUGCCAUUUUUUGGUUGUUGUUCAAAUGAUUUUAAUCAUUGGAAUGCACAAUCUUUUUAAUAUGCAAAUUAAAAGUUUUAAAACCUGAAA